UUUGGAGCUAUUUCUAUUUCUACAAUUAUAGAUGGUCCUGCAGUCAAUCAUUUGGCCACAGGUGAAGAAGCAAAGUGAUGACGGUGACAACAGCGAUGAUGUCUUGGAAGCAGAAACUACGCAGCAUCUUCAGACAAUCUGCACCAGCUCAUGAGAUUUUGGGUUGGCUGGGAGGCUCCAUGCCAGGAACUGAAGCCUGAAGUAGUGCAGUUAACUGGACCAAACCACAUGCCCACUUCAUCCACCUGCAGUGAACGUUUACGCCUUCUAAGCCAUUAUUCUACCUACCAGACUCUGUAUGCUGACAUGACGGUGUGUCUUAAAUUGGUUGGGACUGGCUUUGGUCUUCUUUGAGAACUCAGUGCAUUGGUGUUUCAUUUGUUCAAUAAUUGCAUUUCAAUAUGGCAAUUAAGUAAAAAUACAAAGUCAUUUUAUUAUUAGCUUUUUUUUUU